rnacentral:lncRNA from 1 species
CGACCUAGCACACGAGCGUGUGGUUGGUCAUGUGACCUAAUUCAGAGAGUUACACAAGUAUGGACACGGUUUGGGACACAGCCGUGUGCCUCACAUCGAAUGCCCACACGGCCUAAGACACAGACGUGUCUCCUAGCCGUGUAAGCAACACGGGCGUGUGUCCCCUGUUCUUAAGAAAAUUAUUGAGAUUUAUGGGAAAAAUUCCUUGUGUAUCCGGC